rnacentral:rRNA from 1 species
GAUGAACGCUGGCGGCGUGCCUAAUACAUGCAAGUCGGGCGGAAGGUGGUGUUGCUUGUGUCGGAGGGGUUAGCAACGCGUGAGAACGUGACCCUGGGAUGAGAACAACAUCAGGAAAGGGUUACUACUGCCCCCUGGAGUGAGUAGCAGAAGAUGGUAUCCACCGGAUGGUUGGCUAGCGUCUGAUUAGCUUGUUGUUGAGUCAAUAUCGUACCAAGGCGAUGAACCGUAUCUGUUCCGAGAGGGUGAACAGCCACACUGCGACUGAGACACGGACCAGAGUCCUACGCGAGGCAGGCGUGGGGAAUUCUCAGCAAUGGGCGAUAGCUUAACGGAGUAAUCGCGCGUGGAAGCAGUAGGACUACGGGUCGUGAAAUUCUUUUCCAGGAGAAGAAGCAAUGACGGUAUCUGGGGAAUAAGCCUCGGCUAACUCCGUG